rnacentral:lncRNA from 1 species
CUCCAUCUCUUCUUCAGAUUCAUUAUCAGAAGAGUUCUGAACAUUGUCAUCAACCUAACUUAAUUCUUCAAUUUCUUUAGCUUUCCUUUUCCUUUCAUAUUUUUUUUUCUUUUGGUGAAUGAGUUUUCUUCAAUCGUUUUUUUGACAAUAUCAUCCAUCUUCACUGCGUCGUUAUGAAUUUGUUCAUUCGUACUCCAAAAUUUCUUCGACUGUAGGUGAUUAGAAACAACAUUAACUACAUCGUCUUGAUUUAAUCCAAGACCAAAAGAUGAUGCAUAAUCAGAUUAAUAGGUCGUAUACAACUAUUUGUUUGUGAUUUUGGUGUUUGUUCAUCCAUUAGAGCAUAAAAACCUUAAAAUCAGAUUUGCUAAUGAAUUACAGUAUCAAAAAAAAAAUUUAUAACAUGCAACAACGGAAUUAAAUAGUUACCUAAAAUAGAUGAACACAAU